rnacentral:rRNA from 1 species
AACGAACGCUGGCGGCAGGCUUAACACAUGCAAGUCGAGCGCCCCGCAAGGGGAGCGGCAGACGGGUGAGUAACGCGUGGGAACGUACCUUUUGGUUCGGAACAACUCCGGGAAACUGGAGCUAAUACCGGAUAAGCCCUAACGGGGAAAGAUUUAUCGCCGAAAGAUCGGCCCGCGUCUUAUUAGCUAGGUGGUGGGGUAAUGGCUCACCAAGGCGACGAGGGGUAGCUGGCCUGAGAGGAUGAUCGGGCACGCUGGGACGGAGAUACGGCCCCGACUGCGACGGGCGGCAGCAGUGGGGAAUAGUGCAAGAUGGGCGGAAGCGUGAUGUAGCAACGCCGGGUGCGGGAUGAGGGAAUUCGGGUUGUAAACCGAUUUCGCCUGUGACGAAGCGUGAGUGACGGUAAUGGGUAAAGAAGCAACGGCUAACUACGUG